rnacentral:lncRNA from 1 species
CCUAUGGGUCUUGGCCGUCGGCAACGGGCCAAUGAUCGGAAAACAAAAAGAAAAGGGUGGGGUCCCUAUUUUUCUAAAUUUUUCUUCGUCGGUCGAACCUCACCGCCGGCCUUCUCUUGCCCUAUCACCGUCAACCAGGUGCCACAGCCCCUCAUCGGAGCUCGAGCUACCAAGAUCUUCCCUCGGAUCCUCCCCUACUCGACCAAGGA